rnacentral:lncRNA from 1 species
UUGGCCAAUCACAAUGUCCAAUAUGCGUAUGUUUGACAAGACAUGAUAAGUGUCGAACAUACACAUAUUCCAUAGUUAUACUAUCGAACAUGUGCAUGUUCAUGUGUACGUUCGAUAAUAAUACAAGAGUAUAAACAUGUCAAACUUGUUUUCUCUCCUCACCCUUAUUUGGAAAAACAAAGCUCCGGGAUUGCUUCCUGGUUUGAUCAUGGGUAGCUCUGAAUAAGGCUGUAGAAAUGGAACUUAUAUACAUAUAUUAUGUUGAAACUAAUGCAGGAAGCAGUGAAUGUGUCACUUGGAAACUUGCUGACUUACCCAUUUGUGAGAGAUGGGUUGGUGAAGAAAAGUCUAGCAUUGAAGGGUGGCUACUACGAUUUCGUUACCGGAAGUUUUGAGCUCUGGGGGCUUGAGUUUGGCCUCUCUCCCCCUCUAUCUGUAUGAACAUACCAACCAUUAUCUGUGUCACCAUUCUCUUUCCCACCAGAUCAUCAUGUACUAAAUGAGCUAUAAUCUGCAAUAAACACUAAAUGGAGAUCAUCAGCAGCUCCUUUUACUUGUAAACUAUGCAUUGCAGAUUGGAUUUUUUUACUUGAUUUCUGUAUCAUGAUUAAUACUCUAAAUAGACUUUAUUCACUACUGCAUUUUUUUGCUUCUUUCUUCCUUGUUAGGUUAAAGAUGUGGCCACCAUACUUCAUUGGAAGCUCUAGGGCAUUGCAUACAGGUCAUUCAUUCCUGCUAAGAUGAGGACACUCUCUUCUUUUGUUUCUUUGAAAUAAUAUAUGAAAUGGGUUUUGUUGAUUAAGACCCUUUUAUCAAGAACUCAGGUCAUGUUUUCUUCCUUCUUCAGCAUCCAACUUAGUCAAUUAUAUACUUACUACAAACUAAUGAUUUGCCACAUGUUAGUCUUUUAAGCUUAUCUUUUUAAUUAGCAUCAUAACCAAAAUUUAUUGACCUAAGAGACUGAUAAUACUAGAGAAGAUUCAGAUUCUCGGACUAGUUUAACUCCAUAUCAGUUCAAUUAUACAAUAUAUUAGCUAUCCACAAUAUUUUGAAUUUCACAUCGGUUUAGAAUAGAAAAUAAUAGUGUGUUGCUUAUAAGAGUUUUAGCCGCUUUUCUCUUUUAGCUAACUUUUGCUGUGAGAUUCACAUAUCAAAAAUAAUUUUUUUUUGAACUGAGAUUUGAUUCAAAUUUUAUGAAAGAGAAUAAUUUUUAAUAAUCUAUUUCUUUAACCUUUGAAUACUAAUAUUUUGACUAAUUUAAAAUAUCAAACUCUACUUUAAAAAUAGUUGCGAGCAGUGCCAUUAUGUUUAAAAGUGUUUCCAAUGUACUGUUAUAGUUCAAGCUCCCUAAAGAUGAAACAUGCGCUAAAUAUUCUAUGGCACAACUCUUUUUGUUUGUUUUGUCUGUCUGGUCUUGUGUAGUUUGUUGGGAGAAAUGCAAUCUUAAAGUAAAAGAUCUAAUAUUCUAACUCAUCAAUUAUGAAGUACAAAGGACUUAAUUUAAGGAAAAAACAUGUAAUGAAGUGCUUUUUUUGGCAAGGGUAUAUUAGCCUUAGUGUUCUAUUUUGUUCCUCUUGAAUUUAAGACCAGAAAAUUCAGCUUCAACCAUCUUGAAAAGAUUCAUGACAAAGCCUUUAGUAAGAUGCCUUCACUGUGAUCACUGCAUUGGCUUUGCUCGGAGAAGAUUAUCAUUAUGAGAGAAUUCAAUUCAAUUCUUUUAAAAAUUCAUUUCUUACAAAAAUGAAUAAACGGAGGGAGGGUAAACUCAUUUACAAUUGUAAUGAGUUCUAGAGAAUCAUCAUUGCAUAACUUGAAGGCCAGUUCAUGUGUAUCUGAGACUUGAUUGGCUUUCAGAAUCCCAACAUCAAUAUAAAUUUUGAUAAGUGGUUGUUGUACCUCCAUUGAAUACUAAAUUUGUAGCCUCGGAGAUUGUUGAACUAGAAACAGCAACCCUGCUACUUUGCUGUUUGAUGCUAAGCCUGGCAGCUCUUUGCUCAGAUGUAUCCACUUGACAACUUUUGGGGAUAAACUUCAUAUUGGCCAACCAAGCCAACACCCAUACCAAAAUACCAUUUAUUAUAUUUAUAAAGUAAAUAUAUAAUUAAUUUUAUUCUACUAGGUUUAUUAUAUAUAAUAAAAUAUAUAAUUCUACUAUAUUUAUUAAAAUAUAAAAAAUUAAUUUAAAAUUAUAUUUAACAUCUCAAUCAUUAAAAAUUCUAAAUUUCAGUAAUUUUUUAGCCGCGUACAAAAUUAUGAGAAGCACUUUUCAACCUUAAAAAAUAGCUCAAAACAUGUUAGGGAACUUCCAAUUCAUUGGUAUUUUAUAUAUCAUGAAUACUAAUGAUUCAAAUGGGAAAUAAAAUUUCAUGCAAAGAAAAUUGAUAACAAGAUUUAUAGGAUAAAUCUCUUAGUUCUAUAUAUAAAUAAAUGCUUUGAUAAUCAACCACCUACCCAGCUUAUGCAUAUUGAAAUAUUAUUUUGUACAUUGAAAGAUAAGAAUGUCUAAUCGUAUGUUUAUGAAACAAUAUCUAAUACUCACACCAUCCCACAAUGGCUGUAGUUUAAAAUUAAUGCACU